CCCAACCUACUCCAAUUUGAUUCUUUUCACAUAUUUAGACAUAAUAUAGUACUAUGAAAUGUUUCUGACCUAAAAUUUUACGAAAUAUGAUUGUUUACAUUAAAAUGUAAAAGUUGAUGUUACAGUGUGAUAAGGUGAAAAAAGUGACAUUUUAUGUCUAGAAAGUCAAUUUUCAUCAAAAGUACAAUAACAAAACUAGUUCCCAUUCAUCCUGUGUCAAGUGUGAUAAGGUGAAAAAGUGACAUUUUAUGUCUAGAAAGACACUUACAUCAAAAGUGCAAUAACAAAACUAGUUCCCAUUCAUCCUGUGUCCCCAUACACACUUCUGCUCUUUAUCCGCUCAAAACGCUAUACAGCGAACGAGAAGGCGCUAGGAGCAAAGGAAAGUGGUUUUUCUAACAAACUCAUAUAAUCAGUUGCCCGACCUACUCCAAUUUGAUUCUUUUCACAUAUUUAGACAUAGUAUAGUACUAUGAAAUGUUUCUGACCUAAAAUAUUACGAAAUAUGAUUGUUUACAUUAAAAUGUAAAAGUUGAUGUUACAGUGUGAAAAAAGUGACAUUUUAUGUCUAGAAAGUCACUUUACAUCAAAAGUGCAAUAACAAAACUAGUUCCCAUUCAUUCUGUGUCCCCUUACACACUUGUGCUCUUUAUCCGCUCAAAACGCUAUACAGCGAACGAGAAGGCGCUAGGAGCAAAGGAAAGUGGUUUUUCUAACAAACUCAUAUAAUCAGUUGCCCGACCUACUCCAAUUUGAUUCUUUUCACAUAGUUAGACAUAAUAUAGUACUAUGAAAUGUUUCUGACCUAAAAUAUUACGAAAUAUGAUUGUUUACAUUAAAAUGCAAAAGUUGAUGAAAAAGUAUGAUAAGGUGAAAAAAGUGACAUUUUAUGUCUAGAAAGUCACUUUACAUCAAAAGUGCAAUAACAAAACUAGUUCCCAUUCAUUCUGUGUCCCCUUACACACUUGUGCUCUUUAUCCGCUCAAAACGCUAUACAGCGAA
ensembl:lncRNA